rnacentral:rRNA from 1 species
GCAGUCGAGCGGCAGCGGGGGUGCUUGCACCUGCCGGCGAGCGGCGAACGGGUGAGUAAUACAUCGGAACGUACCCAUGUGGUGGGGGAUAACUACUCGAAAGAGUAGCUAAUACCGCAUACGCCCUGAGGGGGAAAGCGGGGGAUUCUUCGGAACCUCGCGCCAUUGGAGCGGCCGAUGUCGGAUUAGCUAGUAGGUGGGGUAAAGGCUCACCUAGGCGACGAUCCGUAGCUGGUCUGAGAGGAUGAUCAGCCACACUGGGACUGAGACACGGCCCAGACUCCUACGGGAGGCAGCAGUGGGGAAUUUUGGACAAUGGGCGCAAGCCUGAUCCAGCCAUGCCGCGUGAGUGAAGAAGGCCUUCGGGUUGUAAAGCUCUUUCAGUCGGGAAGAAAAGGCGCGCUCUAACAUAGCGCGCUCAUGACGGUACCGACAGAAGAAGCACCGGCUAACUACGUGCCAGCAGCCGCGGUAAUACGUAGGGUGCGAGCGUUAAUCGGAAUUACUGGGCGUAAAGCGUGCGCAGGCGGUUGUGUAAGACAGGUGUGAAAUCCCCGGGCUUAACCUGGGAACUGCGCUUGUGACUGCACGGCUAGAGUACGGCAGAGGGGGGUGGAAUUCCACGUGUAG